UUCCGGUUGAUCCCGCCGGAGSCAUUGCUAUCGGGGUCCGAUUUAGCCAUGCUAGUUGUGCGGGUUAGACCCGCAGCAAAUAGCUCCGUAACACGUGGCCAAACUACCCUACGGAGGAGAAUAACCUCGGGAAACUGAGGCYAACACUCCAUACGGUUCCGACGCUGGAACGCCCGGAACCGGAAACGUUCCGACGCCGUAGGAUGUGGCUGCGGCCGAUUAGGUAGACGGUGGGGUAACGGCCCACCGUGCCGAUAAUCGGUACGGGUGAUGAGAGUCAGAGCCCGGAGACGGAAUCUGAGACAAGAUUCCGGGCCCUACGGGGCGCAGAGGCGCGAAACCUUUACACUGCACGGAAGUCGGAUAGGGGGAAUCCCAAGUGCGAGGGCAUAUUAGCCCUCGCUUUUGUUGCCGUAAGUGGGUCAACGAAUAAGAGCUGGGCAAGACCCGGUGCCAGCCGCCGCGGUAAUACCGGCAGCUCAAGUGAUGUCCCAUAUUAUUGGGCCUAAAGCGUCCGUAGCUGGCAGCCAAGUCCAUCGGGAAAUCCACCCGCCCAACGGGUUGGGCGUCCCGGUGGGAACUAGGCUUGGCUUUGGAACCGGAAGGCUUCAGGAGUACGUCCGGGGGGUAGGGAGUUGAAAUCCCGUAAUCCCUGGACGGCUACCGUUGCGAACACUCUUGAGAAGACGGCUUUCGCCGGUGAGGGCCGAAGCUCGGGUCUCAAACCGGAUUAGGUACCCAGGUAAGUCCGGCUGUAAACCGUUGUCCUUA
rnacentral:rRNA from 1 species